CCUACGGGUGGCAGCAGUGGGGAAUAUUGCACAAUGGGGGAAACCCUGAUGCAGCGACGCCGCGUGAGUGAAGAAGUAUUUCGGUACGUAAAGCUCUAUCAGUAGGGAAGAAAAUGACGGUUCCUGACUAAGAAGCCCCGGCCAACUACGUGCCCGCAGGCGCGGUAAGACGUAGGGGGCAAGCGUUAUCCGGAUUUACUGGGUGUAAAGGGAGCGUAGACGGCAACGUAAGUCUGGAGUGAAAUCCCAUGGCUUAACCAUGGAACUGCAUUGGAAACUGUGCAGCUAGAGUGCAGGAGAGGUAAGCGGAAUUCCUAGUGUAGCGGUGAAAUGCGUAGAUAUUAGGAGGAACACCAGUGGCGAAGGCGGCUUACUGGACUGUAACUGACGUUGAGGCACGAAAGCGUGGGGAGCAAACAGGAUUAGAUACCCCAGUAGUC
rnacentral:rRNA from 1 species